rnacentral:rRNA from 1 species
UAGUACGGCGAGUGAGAGGGAAGAGCCCAAGAUUGAAAGCUGGCGCCUUCGGCGUCCGCAUUGUAAUCUCAAGAAGUGUUUUCCGCUUCGGACCAUGCCUAAGUCCCUUGGAAAAGGGCAUCAUAGAGGGUGAUAAUCCCGUACAUGGCAUGGAGCGCCCGAAGCUUUGUGAUACGCUUUCUAAGAGUCGAGUUGUUUGGGAAUGCAGCUCAAAAUGGGUGGUAAAUGCCAUCUAAGGCUAAAUAUUGGGGAGAGACCGAUAGCGAACAAGUACAGUGAUGGAAAGAUGAAAAGAACUUUGAAAAGAGAGUUAAACAGUACGUGAAAUUGCCAAAAGGGAAGGGUAGGAGGUCAGAGAUGCGUCGCAGGAUUCAGCCUUGCUUUUGCUUGGUGUUUUUCCUGCGUUGCAGGCCAACGUCGGUUUUGGGCACUGGAGAAGGGUAGGAGGAACGUGGCACCUCUCGGGGUGUGUUAUAGCCUCCUACUGGAUACAGCGACCGAGACCGAGGAACGCAGCGUACUCGUAAGAGCGGGCCUUUUGGCACCUUUACGCUUAGGGCGUUGGCAUAAUGGCCCUCUACCACCCGUCUUGAAACCACGGACCACUGC